UGAGUAACACGUAUCCAACCUGCCGUCUACUCUUGGACAGCCUUCUGAAAGGAAGAUUAAUACAAGAUGGCAUCAUGAGUCCACAUGUUCACAUGAUUAAAGGUAUUCCGGUAGACGAUGGGGAUGCGUUCCAUUAGAUAGUAGGCGGGGUAACGGCCCACCUAGUCUUCGAUGGAUAGGGGUUCUGAGAGGAGGUCCCCCACAUUGGAACUGAGACACGGUCCAA
rnacentral:rRNA from 1 species